CCAAGUGUGAGACCCCCACAUUGCUUCUCACAGUUCACCACUUGUGUCAAUCAUCUUGGUGUUACUUGUACUCAAUACUUAUUCCUAGCAUAAUAGUCCAACUGCUGUAUUAAUGAACCACAGUCACUUUGUCCAUUAUUUGUAUCCUCACCUGGUCAUGGGGAUGUGUAUCAGUAGGGUAGCCAUCUAGUCUGAAGAAGUGGACUUGAACCACAAAAGCUCACAAUAAAAUAUAACAGUCUUUGAUAUCCCAACAACCACAAUAUGUUUGUCUUUUUGUUUCUUUGUAGCCUACUUUGCAUCUCCUAAGCUACUGUACUUCCCCAAGGAAUAGAGAAAGUUACUGUCUUGUCUCCAGGGCCAAAAGAAGAAUUAAACUACCCGUGUGUUCACUUCAGACCUUGGAAAUAACUAGCUACAACUUCCUCUGCAUGGCUGCCUUUGCGCUUUAUAUCACAAUGUCAUAUUAUCAAGGCUCCAGAAUGAAUGUGAACUUCCCGUUGUUUCUGAGCACGACUUUCUCGGUGACAGUUCCGGCAAUUUACUUCCCACUGAAGAAACCAGGAAGGCCCUGCCCUCUGGGAUAAUUAAGCAUGACAGAGCUGCUGCUGUUUUGGCUGCUUUAGGUCAGCUUUCCCAGUGCCUCUGAUGAUCAAGGCAUUGGAGUGUCCAGUUUCAUUCCUGUUCUUAUUUGUAUUCAUUUUCCAGCAUGAGCCGAAACACCGAGCAACAGAUGAUCCAUUACCACAAACAAGAAACAAAUGUGCUAAAUUAAAAUAAAUUGAUACAGAUG
rnacentral:lncRNA from 1 species